rnacentral:rRNA from 1 species
UACGUAGGGUGCGAGCGUUGUCCGGAAUUACUGGGCGUAAAGAGCUCGUAGGUGGUUUGUCGCGUUGUUCGUGAAAACUCACAACUCAAUUGUGGGCGUGCGGGCGAUACGGGCAGACUGGAGUACUGCAGGGGAGACUGGAAUUCCUGGUGUAGCGGUGAAAUGCGUAGAUAUCCGGAGGAACACCAGUGGCGAAAAGCGGCCACCUGGACCGGCAUUGACGCUGAACAGCGAAAGCUAGGGGAGCAAACGGG